AAGAUAGAACACCCCGUCUCCCUCUUCCGUCUUCCCUACCUCUGGAAGCCGCCGUUCUCCUCUCGUCGAGAGCGUCGCUCUCUACCCCGCCUCUCCUCGACUGGUGCGGCGUGGAGAUCCAUCAGGGGCUUGGGAUCGGUUCCUUCUUUUGCCGCUGGCUGUUUGGGCACCAAGGUGUGGGGAAUUGGUGACCAACUGUAACGAUGUCCGUGGCCGCCGGUGUAAGUGAUGCGGCCAUCGCGGUGCGCGACAAGCUCCGCGGCAAGAUUGGCCAGACCAAAGUCAAGCGGUACUGGCCAGGAAAGGCGCCUGAGUGGGCUGACGAUGCCGAAGAGGACAUAGACCUCCGGACGGCACGGGUCUCCCUUGAUAAGGCAUUCCCAAAGGAUGAAGAUGGUGACAUCCCUACAAAGGAUGACCGCCGGCUCCGGCGUCUCGCACAAACCCGCGAGAACAAGGAGGAGCUGAGGGCCGAUCAUCGCCGCAUAAGGCAGGCUGAGAUUGUGUCAACUGUUGAGGAGCAGAAUGAGAGGCAGGAAGCUGAUAUUGACGAGGAGGACGAGGAGGCCCAGGAGGAGAGGAGGAGGAGGAUACGGGAGAGGCAGCUCUUAAGGGAGCAGGAGGAGCUACUUCCUCAGGAAGAUGAGGAACCGGUGGAGGAUGAGGAGUCAGAGGAAUCUGAGUAUGAGACGGACUCUGAGGAUGAGCAGACGGGCAUGGCCAUGGUGAAACCUGUCUUCAUUCCAAAGUCACAGAGAGACACCAUUGCGGAGCGUGAACGGCUGGAGGAGGAGGAGCGCCAGCUUGAGGAGCUGGUCAAGAAGAAGCUGGAGGCUAGGAAGAUUGAGACUAGGCAGAUUGUGGUUGAAGAGAUUAAAAAGGAGGAGCACAUUGAGAAGGCGUUGAAUGAAGAGGCCAACAUUGAGGAUGUUGACACAGAUGAUGAGUUGAAUGAAGCAGAAGAGUAUGAAUCAUGGAAGAAUAGAGAAAUAACAAGAAUUAAGAGGGACAGGGAGGAAAGAGAUGCAAGGUUGAAGGAGAAGGAGGAGAUUGAGAAGGUCAGGAAUAUGACCGAGGAGGAGCGUAGAGAAUGGGAGCGGAAGAAUCCAAAGCUGCUUCGGCAGACCAAACAAAAGUGGAAGUUUAUGCAAAAGUAUUACCACAAAGGUGCCUUCUUCCAGGAAAGUGCUGAUGAUGUUAUUCAGUCAGCUGGUAAAGAGGAUAUCUACACCCGCGAUUUCUCUGAACCUACUGGGGAAGAUAAGAUGGACAAGAGCAUCCUGCCCAAGGUCAUGCAAGUUAAACACUUUGGGCGCAGUGGCAGAACAAAGUGGACACAUCUUGUUAAUGAGGAUACUACAGAUUGGAAUGCACCAUGGGCUACAAAUGGGCCUCUCCGAGCAAAAUAUAAUGCAAAAAUGGCAGGCAUGAAUGCACCUAUUGCUAAACCAAAGGGGAGUAAGAAGCUGAAGGAUUGGGAUGCAAAAUGAGAUGCUGGCUUGACCUGGUAGGCUGGGAGGCUGGUCCAUGAUCAGCUUUUAGCUCUGAAAGUUGUGGCAAUGAGCCUUAUGCAAUGCAACGUGACAGGUCGAAGUGAUAAGAAACUAACUACUCGGGUGAUCAGAUUUGAAUUUUGUUAGAUUUUCCUGUCAGCUUACUGAUGCGUACAGCUGUUAGUGUUAUACUUUAUGCGUUCUCCAAACAAUGAGAGCGGGGGAGAGUAGUGCUUGAUUGAAUUGCUUCAGCAGACAUAGAAUGAUAUUUCUGUGCUGCGAUAAUAGAGUGAAUUGAUUAAGUUGUAUGCUAAUGGGGCUGAAUUGAACUCAAUCAGAUUCAGAUAUACAUGAGUUAUCAUACUCAUCUGCACCUAGGACUUUGAAAAUUGCAUUUAAUUGAACUAUGUAGCAGGCAUAGGAGUACGGGUAGCCUUCUGGCACAGGUCAAUGUUUCAGUUCUGUCUCUUUCUACAUGGGCCCUGUUUGGUUCCGCUCAUAAGCGGUUAUAGGUGAAAAAAAUGUGAAAAAUCCCACCCAAGUUUAUGGAAAUUGAAUAAUGUGAGCCACUCCAUUAUUUGGUGUUUCCGUGGGCUUUUGGUGGUCAGACAUGUUUGCAUAUUCAGAAACUCCAUAAACUUAAAGGCUAGUCAUUCGUUGAAAAUUCCCAAGCUAGGUAGCUAGUACAGCAGACUCUGAGUGCUUGCGGCAACAUUGGGGAAAAUUAAACCACCCUCCGGUAUCCUUCUCCAUCCGCAUUUUGUGGCCUCGCAAAGCUCUCCCAUACGGACAAGUGGCAAAGCACGGCUGGAAGUGGCGCGUGCAGCCUGGACGCCUGGCAGCAUCAGAGCUCAUUAAAACUUUUGGGGAGCCUGCUUUUGAGCAGUACAGGUCAGUUGAUUUGGCUCCCCUCCGUUUCUCAAAAUUGACACUUGGUACUGUUACCCCUCAGUUUACUGUGGAUAGAAAUACAUGUGAAGCAGAACAUCAUUCUUGGAAUUUCAAUUUAUCAGGCAAUGUUGGUUAUACACAUGUUCUUUUGAGCUGGAGAUUGUUAGGUGUUCAGAUUGCUGAAUAGAGCUGAUAAGAAGAGAUUGUCAGUUAUGCUUCCAGACCACAGGUCGACCCUGAAUGCGAUGGGAGUGACGAGCUGCUGAGUUGAAGUGGAACAACGACUACUUCGUUGAUCUGGGGCUGCAAGUUGCUCCUUUCUAUGCUUGAGCUGGAGGGACCGGUGAGGCAAACAAUGUGGCUGCACGAAAACAUGCCACAUGGUUUUGCCACUGCCAACUGCAUUCUGUCCUUGUUAUCAAACACUUAUCCUUGAUCUAUCCAUGUUGCUUGAAAGGGAAAUAUGAGCAGGUUUGAUCGAUUCAGUAUUGUCCAGCGGCCGUGCUUUCUUUGUAUCUUUGAUUGGAACAAUAGAGACGAUGAAGGCAACGCCAACACCAGGCCACCAGCACCAGUAACAGUGGAUAAUAAUACCCUGCAUUUUCAUAUCGACU